UACCAGCACCCCAAGUGGUCGGGACGAUUAUUGGGCCUAAAGCAUUCGUAGCCGGUUUUACAAGUCCUCCGUUAAAUCCAGCUGCUCAACAGAUGGGCCGCGGAGGAUACUACAGAGCUAGGAGGCAGGAGAGGCAAGCGAUACUCAGUGGGUAGGGGUAAAAUCCGUUGAUCCAUUGAAGACCACCAGUGGCGAAGGCGGCUUGCCAGAAUGCGCUCGACGGUGAGGGAUGAAAGCUGGGGGAGCAAACCGG
rnacentral:rRNA from 1 species